rnacentral:rRNA from 1 species
GACAGAGGUGCCGAGCGUUAGGCGGAAUCACUGGGCUUAAAGCAUGUGUAGGCGGGCGGGCAAGUACCUUGUGAAAUCCCACGGCUCAACCGUGGAACGGCUGGGUAUACUGCCUGUCUUGAGCCAACUAGGGGCGAGCGGAACAGACGGUGGAGCGGUGAAAUGCGUAGAUAUCGUCUGGAACGCCGAAGGUGAAAACAGCUCGCUGGGGUUGUGCUGACGCUGAGACACGAAAGCCAGGGGAGCGAACGGG